rnacentral:piRNA from 1 species
UCAAAUGGAGGCAGAGAGGCAGGUU